ensembl:lncRNA
GGAAAGGCUAAUCCACAAAAACGGAGAAACGUCCAUAAUUCCAUUAUUCAUAAUCAUGUCAAGGUUUUAGGUUUUUCUGCAGUUCCAUCUCUAAAAAGUGUGAUGUCUUCCCGUCACUGAUUUCAGUUUGAAAACUUUGUAUUUAUUCACAGAUUUCUGUGAGAUCAUCCUAAAAUUUGUAACGAAAAAUGGGCUCAAAAGAGCCCUCUGCCUAACGGCAUGUAGCCUAUAGCAUAACGUGAUAUUUUCAGUAGUGUAUGCAAAAAGGUCGGAAUUGAUGGAGAGUAGGGUUGCCUAAAUGGUUUAGGUUACAUUUUAAAUGUGUCGUUUUUUUGUUUAUACAUAUGGAUGGAUGGAGGGGGCAAGCUGGCAAAGUUUGUCAUGUGCAGUUUCUGACAGGCUACUUCACAACAAAACAAUUGCAGGUUGGUCUUAGAGGGCAAACAGAAUAAUUUCACUCGAUUCAUGGGUUACCUGACUGGUUGGGAAGGGAAAGAGCUGCCGUGUUGUCCGCCGUGGUUCCCAGUCGCUAUAGUUAGCCUACUAUGCCUACUCCAAGUAGUCCUAUGUCAUGCCGCUGCUACACGCCUCACAACAAAUGAACUGCAAGCGUGUUCACGUGACACGGUGACAGUGAAAAAGCGACAGGGUUCGGGUGUCUUUGAAGAAGGGGCACAAAUCAAGCCAUUAUUUUCACACCUUUUUAAAUCGCGCAGCUUUAAAAAAAUAAUAAUAAUCACGUCUUUCAAAAGGGCACUUUUUUGGACUGAAGGCAAAAGGGCAAGUGCUUCAGCACCACCUCGUCUCUAUCUGUGCAUGCCAGUGGCAGUGUGUCCCUCAGUCUGUCCUCACUCUGGACACUUUUUUGUUUUUGCAAGUGUUUUUGUUUUUGCAGGUGUUUUUCUUUGGCAGGUGUUUUUGUUUUUGCAGCAAUUUUCUUUUUGCAGGUUUUUUUCUUUUGCAGGUGUUUUUGUUUUUGCAGCAUUUUUCUUUUUGCAGGUGUUUUUGUUUUUGCAAGUGUUUUUCUUUUUGCAGGUGUUUUUCUUUUGCAGAUGUUUUUGUUUUUGCAGCAUUUUUCUUUUUGCAGGUGUUUUUCUUUUGCAGGUGUUUUUGUUUUUGCAGGUGUUUUUCUUUUGCAGGUAUUUUUGUUUUUGCAGCAAUUUUCUUUUUGCAGGUGUUUUUCUUUUUGCAGGUGUUUUUCUUUUGCAGGUGUUUUUGUUUUUGCAGCAUUUUUGUUUUUGCAGGUGUUUUUCUUUUGCAGGUGUUUUUGUUUUUGCAGCAUUUUUGUUUUUGCAGGUGUUUUUCUUUUGCAGGUGUUUUUGUUUUUGCAGCAUUUUUCUUUUGCAGGGGUUUUUCUUUUUGCAAGUGUUUUUCUUUUGCAGGUGUUUUUCUUUUUGCAGGUGUUUUUCUUUUGCAGGUGUUUUUGUUUUUGCAGCAUUUUUCUUUUUGCAAGUGUUUUCUGAAGUUGCAGUCCGUUUGGCCUCUCAGUGCCACCGUAACAGGUGGAAUCAGGACCACAUUAAGACCUAAUCACCUUCUCUCUCUGUCACACACACACACACACACACACACACACACACACACACACACACAUUUGCUGUAACACAAAAAGAGAGAGAGUAUUUAAAUGUAAAGUCUGAACAUUAGUCACUCUGUCUUCGGUGUGUGUUAGGAGGGUAAAAGUCCAGCUGGCUUAUUUUCCUACCUGGACUCCAUGGUAACGUUGUCAUAAAAGCACGUCAAUAAUUAAUAUGGACUUUUGCGUGUGCGUGCUUUCAAAGUUUUCCUCACACACACACUCU